GCUUGGUUUCAGCAGCCGGGGGUGGGGGGUAGAGCAUGAGAAUUGUAAUCUUAGGGUUGUGGGUUUGAGCCCCACACUGGGCA